UAAGCGGAGGAAAAGAAACCAACAGGGAUUGCCUUAGUAGCGGCGAGUGAAGCGGCAAAAGCUCAAAUUUGAAAUCUGGCACUUUCAGUGUCCGAGUUGUAAUUUGAAGAAGGUAUCUUUGGGUCUGGCUCUUGUCUAUGUUUCUUGGAACAGAACGUCACAGAGGGUGAGAAUCCCGUGCGAUGAGAUGACCCAGACCUAUGUAAAGUUCCUUCGAAGAGUCGAGUUGUUUGGGAAUGCAGCUCUAAGUGGGUGGUAAAUUCCAUCUAAAGCUAAAUAUUGGCGAGAGACCGAUAGCGAACAAGUACAGUGAUGGAAAGAUGAAAAGAACUUUGAAAAGAGAGUGAAAAAGUACGUGAAAUUGUUGAAAGGGAAGGGCUUGAGAUCAGACUUGGUAUUUUGUAUGUUACUCUUUCGGGGGUGGCCUCUACAGUUUACCGGGCCAGCAUCAGUUUGGGCGGUAGGAGAAUUGCAAAGAAAUGUGGCACUGCUUCGGUAGUGUGUUAUAGUCUUUGUCGAUACUGCCAGCCUAGACUGAGGACUGCGGCUUCGGCCUAGGAUGUUGGCAUAAUGAUCUUAAGUCGCCCGUCUUGA
rnacentral:rRNA from 1 species